rnacentral:rRNA from 1 species
UACGGAGGAUCCAAGCGUUAUCCGGAUUUAUUGGGUUUAAAGGGUGCGUAGGUGGCUUUGUAAGUCAGUGGUGAAAGUUUUCAGCUUAACUGGAAAAUUGCCAUUGAUACUGCAGGGCUUGAGUACAGAUGAGGUAGGCGGAAUGUGUCAUGUAGCGGUGAAAUGCAUAGAUAUGACACAGAACACCGAUUGCGAAGGCAGCUUACUAAACUGAUACUGACACUGAGGCACGAAAGCGUGGGGAUCAAACAGG